rnacentral:rRNA from 1 species
AACGAACGCUGGCGGCAGGCCUAACACAUGCAAGUCGAACGCCCCGCAAGGGGAGUGGCAGACGGGUGAGUAACGCGUGGGAACCUUCCCAGUGGUACGGAAUAACCCAGGGAAACCUGAGCUAAUACCGUAUACGCCCGAAAGGGGAAAGAUUUAUCGCCAUUGGAUGGGCCCGCGUCGGAUUAGCUAGUUGGUGAGGUAACGGCUCACCAAGGCGACGAUCCGUAGCUGGUCUGAGAGGAUGAUCAGCCACACUGGGACUGAGACACGGCCCAGACUCCUACGGGAGGCAGCAGUGGGGAAUAUUGGACAAUGGGGGCAACCCUGAUCCAGCCAUGCCGCGUGAGUGAAGAAGGUCUUCGGAUUGUAAAGCUCUUUUGGCGGGGACGAUAAUGACGGUACCCGCAGAAUAAGCCCCGGCUAACUUCGUGCCAGCAGCCGCCGCCGUAA